rnacentral:rRNA from 1 species
GACGUAGGAGGCGAGCGUUAUCCGGAUUCACUGGGCGUAAAGCGCAUGUAGGCGGUUGAUUAAGUCCGUUGUUAAAGCCCCUGGCUCAACUGGGGGAGGUCAAUGGAGACUAUUCGACUUGAGGGCAACAGAGGCACAUGGAACUCCCGGUGUAGAGGUGAAAUUCGUAGAUAUCGGGAGGAACACCUGUGGCGAAGGCGGCCAUCUGGACAACUACUGACACUGAGACGCGAAAGCGUGGGUAGCAAACAGG